UUAAAAAGCUCGUAGUUGAAUUUCGGGGUUAGUAGGUUGGUCAUGCCUCUGGUAUGUACUGGUCUCACUGAUUCCUCCUUCCUUAUGAACCGUAAUGCCAUUAAUUUGGUGUUGCGGGGAAUUUGGACUGUUACUUUGAAAAAAUUAGAGUGUUUAAAGCAAGCUAACGCUUGAAUACAUUAGCAUGGAAUAAUGAAAUAGGACGUUCGAUCUUAUUUUGUUGGUUUCUAGGAUUGACGUAAUGAUUAAUAGGGAUAGUUGGGGG
rnacentral:rRNA from 1 species